UUAAUUGAAGCCAAAAAGAGGCAUAUCAUUGUUAAUGAUAUCAUUGAAUUUUUCUUCCAAUUAAG
rnacentral:tRNA from 1 species